UACGAAGGGGGCUAGCGUUGUUCGGAAUUACUGGGCGUAAAGCGUGCGUAGGCGGUUCGUUAUGUCUGCUGUGAAAGCCCCGGGCUCAACCUGGGAAUGGCAUUUGGGACUGCAAGGCUGGAGUGCGGCAGAGGAGACUGGAAUUCCUGGUGUAGCAGUGAAAUGCGUAGAUAUCAGGAGGAAUACCGAUGGCGAAGGCAGGUCUCUGGGCUGACACUGACGCUCAUGCACGAAAGCGUGGGGAGCAAACAGG
rnacentral:rRNA from 1 species